rnacentral:rRNA from 1 species
AGUGAACGCUGGCGGUAGGCCUAACACAUGCCAGUCGAACGGCGGCACAGUAAGAGCUUGCUCUUACGGGUGGCGAGUGGCGGACGGGUGAUGAAUACAUCGGAAUCUACUUUUUCUUGGGGGAUAACGUAGGGAAACUUACGCUAAUACCGCAUACGACCUACGGGUGAAAGCAGGGGAUCUUCGGACCUUGCGCGAUUGAAUGAGCCGAUGUCGGAUUAGCUAGUUGGCGGGGUAAAGGCCCACCAAGGCGACGAUCCGUAGCUGGUCUGAGAGGAUGAUCAGCCACACUGGAACUGAGACACGGUCCAGACUCCUACGGGAGGCAGCAGUGGGGAAUAUUGGACAAUGGGCGCAAGCCUGAUCCAGCCAUACCGCGUGGGUGAAGAAGGCCUUCGGGUUGUAAAGCCCUUUUGUUGGGAAAGAAAAGCAGCAGGUUAAUACCCCGCUGUUCUGACGGUACCCAAAGAAUAAGCACCGGCUAACUUCGUG